AUGUUAAGUAUUCAAACUGCUCAUAGCGGUAACCAUAUAAAUUUCAUAGUGAAGGGAAAAUUUAUAAAACAUAAUAAAAAUGAUUUUCUCAUAGCAGCAAAGGAUAGUUACUUAGAGUUACUAACACUUGAUUAUAAACAAACACUAUAUGUACAGAAUACAUUUUUAAAAAUUAUAUUUUUACAAGUAUAUAAAAGUAAAAUAAACGAUAAAUUUAUUAUUGUUGAUGAGAAAUUAAAUGUACGAUGUUUAGAAUAUAACAAUGGUUUUAUAGAAUGUUUUUAUAUUGGAAAUUUUUUUUUAAAAAAACUAAAAGUUUAUAUAAAAUGGUUUAAGCUAAAAACUGAUCGAAAUGACUUAACAUUAGUAAACGAAUAUAACAAAUACAUUAAUAUUUGUUUUAUUGGUAAUAUAAUUUUUAUAUCUAUUGAAAAUGUAUUGUUUUAUAAAGUAAUAGAAAAUUCUAUUCUUAUUUCUCAUAUUAAUAACAAUAUACAUGACAAAUGUUUGAGUUUUUUAUUAAAAGAAAAGAAAAGGGAAAAAGAAAAACUUAAAAAUCGAAGUGGAUAUGUAGAUAGGGGUGCAUAUAGGGGAGCAGCUGUAAGUACAGAUAGGGGUACAAAUACAUGUGAAAAUACAAGUAUACAGGAGAAAGAAGUCGAAAUAUGUUAUGAUCCUUUACACUUCAAAUAUACUAUAAGUUAUCAAAAAAAAAAAAAAAAAAAAUACGUUUAUUUAUCAGUAUUAAGAAGAAAAAACAAAUUUCCUUAUAUUUUAAAAUUAAAAAAACUACAGAAAAAUAAAAAUAGUAACAUUAACACAUAUUCUAGUGUAAGUAAAAGUAAAUAUUCACUACAUUUAAAAAAAAUUAUAAAAGAAGAAACGAAAUUUUAUUGUAAAUUUACAAAAAAUAUAUCUUUUAUAACAUACUUAAAAUGGAAAAAUGAUAAUUAUAUGUACCAAGAUAUAGGUUGUUUUUGCUCUCCCCCCUCAAAAAAUAAUACUAAUAAAAAAAAUUAUAAUACUAUCUAUGGUCAUGAUGAUGGUUAUUGUGGUAAUAAUAACAUCAGUAACAAUAUUAGCGAUGAUAGAAGUGACAACCGGGAUAAAACCGAAAAUAAUAAAAAACCUAUUUACAAUAAAAGCAUGAGUAACAAUAGCAGUUUUUUUGAAGAUUAUAAUUUUAUACCUAAAAAAUUAAAUAAACAAAAGCAAGUAGAAAAACAGCUUUAUUACUUAGAUGACUGUAAAUAUCCCAUAAAUUCCAAAAUAUAUUUUAUAAUACACUUUUUAAAAAACAACUGUAAUUAUAAAAGUUUUAUUAAAAAUGUUUUGUUUUUAUGUGAUAAAGAACAAAAAGAAAUUGUACAACUUAAAAAUUAUUUGAUAAAUCAUACAUUUUUUACAGAAGAUUUAAUGAGAAUGUUAAAAAUAUAUAAUAACAACAAAUAUUAUAAUAUAGAUUAUAUAAAUAUAUGGGUACAACGAACUUAUAAUUAUUUUUUAAAUAAAAUACAAACUACUAAUACAAACGAUUAUGUAUGCGAUACAUAUAGUAUUACAACAGUAAAAAAAGGACAUAAUUUUAAUACAUGUCCUAUAUGUAAAUACUAUUUAAAUAAGUUUACUAAUGUAAUUUCAGAUACUACAUCCAUUAGUUAUGAUGAAAAGUUAAACCCAUAUGUAUUUUAUAAUGGGGUUAAUAAUAUGAACAGUAAUAAUAAUAAUAAUAAUAAAAAACAAAAUGACAUGAUAUAUAUAUACUUUUUAUACAUGUUAAUGAUAAAAACAAAAUCUUUAUUAUUUUAUUUUGUUUUGUUAUUUUAUUUUUGUAGUAAAAAAAUAAACAAUUCUAAUACUGUUAUUUUAAAAAGAAAAAAAAGAAUUCCUAUGAUUUUAUAUGAAUUACAGAUACAUAUAUAUUUUAUAUAUAUUUUUAUUUUUCACAUUUUGUAUUAUAUUAUGGAUAGUAACAUAGAUAGUAAUGAGGGUAUAGUAACCGAAAAUAAUUUACAUGAUAUAUUACAUAAUAAAAAUGGAAAAAUAAAACAGGAUACAUACGACAGUAGUAAUAACAGCAAAAAAGACAGCAAUAGUAAUAGCAAUAGUAAUAGCAAUAGUAAUAGCAGCAACAACAACAACANNNNNNNNNNCAACAGUAGUGACCCACGGAGUUAUAACCUUUUUUUAAAAUGCACAAAAAAACUAUACUACCUGUUCAAUACAAACAUGAAUAAGCACAAAAUUAACAAACUUACAAAGUGUGAUGGUGAUGGUGAUGGUGAUGGUGAUGGUGAUGAUGAUGGUGAUGAUGAUGGUGAUGAUGAUGAUACAAAACACUACAACAGUUCCCUUUCGUAUUCUUAUGGUCAUACACAAUUAAAAAAUAUUAUAAAACAUUUAUUUACUUUUCAAUUAAUAUCAUUUGAAUUAUUAAAAGACUCAAAUUUCGAUUAUAAAAAGAUUAGUAAAAAAUUAAUUGCAAUGGAAGAAAAAAAAAAAAAAAAAAAAGUUAACACUCAAAUAAUAACAUAUGGGAAAAAAAAAUGUCAUAUUUUAUUAAUAACAUUUACUAAUAAUGCUCCUAAAACUGAAAUUAUAUUUUUUAAAAAAAAUAGAAAAACUAUGAGUAUGUAUAUCCAGGGAAGAAGAUAUAACGAUAUGAAUGGAGAUUGUAAUAGAACAAGGGGGGGUUAUAAUAAAAAACAAAAUAAGCAUAUAAAUAAUGCCCAACAUGUACUAACACCUGUUGGGAAACUUAUAUUACCAUUAGAAGUGUACAAAAUAGAAUGUUUAGAGAACAAUUUAUUUCUUUUGUUUACAAAUCGAAUUAUAUUAUUAUUUAGUUUUUGUGAUUUAUAUGGUAGUAAUCUAUUUUUAAUAAAUUAUUUAUCUUAUUGUAAAAAAGAAAGUAUAAAUUAUAUAAACAAAAUAAAAUUUUUUAGAAUAGUAAAAAAGCAGAAUGUAUAUAAAGAAAUAGAGUGGUAUAUUCUAUUUUCUGAUUAUUAUACAAAAUGUAACACAUUAAAUAAUUUUAACAAUUUUACUAACGAACAGUUGUUAUAUUCUCAUUUAAAAAAAAAAAAUAAAAUAAAAAAUAAAAAUAAAAUAAAAAAUAAAAAUAAAAUNNNNNNNNNNAAAAUAAAAAUAAAAUAAAAAAUAAAAAUAAAAUAAAAAAUAAAAAUGGUACA
rnacentral:lncRNA from 1 species